AUGGGUACGGAUACUUCGAGCGCGACGGUGGAGGUGGGCGGCGGGUGCCCGGGAGUGUACGGCCCCGGUGCUUAUCCUGGCCACCCCGGCGCGGUGAAGCUUGACACGGCCACCGGCGGCGGAUACAACGUGGUGGGCAGGAAUGGUAGGAGGUACCUCGUGCCGGCCCUGGUCGAUCCCGCCAACCACUCCUGCCAGUGGCGGAGCCAGAUCUUUUCUGGAGCCUGGGCAAGCUUGAGCCUAAGUGUCUAA
rnacentral:rRNA from 1 species